UAUUGGGCGUAAGGGAGCGCAGGCGGUUGGAAUAGUCUGAUGUGAAAGCCCACGGCUUAACCGUGGAGGGUCAUUGGAAACUGUCCAACUUGAAUGCAGAAGAGGUAAGUGGAAUUCCAUGUGUAGCGGUGAAAUGCGUAGAUAUAUGGAGGAACACCAGUGGCGAAGGCGACUUACUGGUCUGUGAUUGACGCUGAGGCUCGAAAGCAUGGGUAGCGAACAGGAUUAGAUACCCUGGUAGUCCACGCCGUAAACGAUGAGUGCUAAGUGUUGGAGGGUUUCCGCCCUUCAGUGCUGGAGUUAACGCAUUAAGCACUCCGCCUGGGGAGUACGGCCGCAAGGCUGAAACUCAUAGGAAUUGACGGGGACCCGCACAAGCGGUGGAGCAUGUGGUUUAAUUCGACGCAACGCGAAGAACCUUACCAGCUCUUGACAUCUUCUGUUCACUCUAGAGAUAGAGCUUCCCCUUCGGGGGCAGAAUGACAGGUGGUGCAUGGUUGUCGUCAGCUCGUGUCGUGAGAUGUUGGGUUAAGUCCCAUAACGAGCGCAACCCUUAUUGUUAGUUGCCAGCAUUCAGUUGGGCACUCUAGCGAGACUGCCGGUGAUAAACCGGAGGAAGGUGGGGAUGACGUCAAAUCAUCAUGCCCCUUAUGAGCUGGGCUACACACGUGCUACAAUGGACGGUACAACGGGUAGCGAGGGCGCGAGCCUUAGCAAAUCCUAAUAAGCCGUUCUCAGUUCGGAUUGUUCUCUGCAACUCGAGAGCAUGAAGCCGGAAUCGCUAGUAAUCGCGGAUCAGAAUGCCGCGGUGAAUACGUUCCCGGGUCUUGUACACACCGCCCGUCACACCACGAGAGUUCGUAACACCCGAAGCCGGUUGG
rnacentral:rRNA from 1 species